GAUGAACGCUGGCGGCGUGCCUAAUACAUGCAAGUCGAGCGAACGGACGAGAAGCUUGCUUCUCUGAUGUUAGCGGCGGACGGGUGAGUAACACGUGGAUAACCUACCUAUAAGACUGGUAUAACUUCGGGAAACCGGAGCUAAUACCGGAUAAUAUUUUGAACCGCAUGGUUCAAAAGUGAAAGACGGUCUUGCUGUCACUUAUAGAUGGAUCCGCGCUGCAUUAGCUAGUUGGUAAGGUAACGGCUUACCAAGGCAACGAUGCAUAGCCGACCUGAGAGGGUGAUCGGCCACACUGGAGCUGAGACAGGGUCAAGACUACUACGGGAGGCCGCAGUAGGGAAUCUGACGCAGUGGGCGAAAGCCUGACGGAGCAACGCCGCGUGAGUGAUGAAGGUCUUCGGAUCGUAAAGCUCUGUUAUUAGGGAAGAACAUAUGUGUAAGUAACUGUGCACAGAUUGACGGUACCUAAUCAGAAAGCCACGGCUAACUACGUG
rnacentral:rRNA from 1 species